rnacentral:rRNA from 1 species
ACGCUGGCGGUAUGCUUAACACAUGCAAGUCGAACGGAAACGAUGGAAGCUUGCUUCCAGGCGUCGAGUGGCGGACGGGUGAGUAACGCGUAGGAAUCUGCCAGAUAGUGGGGGAUAGCCCGGAGAAAUCCGGAUUAAUACCGCAUAAUCUCCAUGGAGUAAAGAGGGCCUCUAUUUAUAAGCUUUCGCUAUCUGAUGAGCCUGCGUAAGAUUAGCUAGUUGGUGGGGUAAUGGCCUACCAAGGCGACGAUCUUUAGCUGGUCUGAGAGGAUGAUCAGCCACACUGGGACUGAGACACGGCCCAGACUCCUACGGGAGGCAGCAGUGGGGAAUAUUGGACAAUGGGGGCAACCCUGAUCCAGCAAUACCGCGUGUGUGAAGAAGGCCUGAGGGUUGUAAAGCACUUUCAAUUGUGAAGAAAAGUUAAUAGUUAAUACCUAUUAGCCUUGACGUUAACUUUAGAAGAAGCACCGGCUAACUCCGUGCCAGCAGCCGCGGUAAUACGGAGGGUGCAAGCGUUAAUCGGAAUUACUGGGCGUAAAGCGUGCGUAGGCGGUUGACUAAGUCAGAUGUGAAAGCCCCGGGCUUAACCUGGGAACUGCAUUUGAAACUGGUCAACUAGAGUAUGGUAGAGGAAAGUGGAAUUUCUGGUGUAGCGGUGAAAUGCGUAGAUAUCAGAAGGAACAUCGAUGGCGAAGGCAGCUUUCUGGACCAAUACUGACGCUGAGGUACGAAAGCGUGGGUAGCAAACAGGAUUAGAUACCCUGGUAGUCCACGCCGUAAACGAUGAUAACUAGCCGUUGGGAGGGUUUACCUCUUAGUGGCGAAGCUAACGCGUUAAGUUAUCCGCCUGGGGAGUACGGCCGCAAGG